rnacentral:rRNA from 1 species
CAGUAGCCACGGGAAUACGAAGGGGGCUAGCGUUGUUCGGAUUUACUGGGCGUAAAGCGCACGUAGGCGGACUUUUAAGUCAGGGGUGAAAUCCCGGGGCUCAACCCCGGAACUGCCUUUGAUACUGGAAGUCUUGAGUAUGGUAGAGGUGAGUGGAAUUCCGAGUGUAGAGGUGAAAUUCGUAGAUAUUCGGAGGAACACCAGUGGCGAAGGCGGCUCACUGGACCAUUACUGACGCUGAGGUGCGAAAGCGUGGGGAGCAAACAGGAUUAGAUACCCCCGUAGUCCCUGUCUCUUAUAC